UUUCCUCUAUUUCUCUAGGGACCACACCAACACGACUGUACACCCCUUGAUCAUGAAGAUAGAUAACUAUCAAACAGAAUACGAUAGAUCACAUCGAGUUGCAUGCCCUACGUGUUAUGCUGCCUUUGGAUGUUUGACAACCAUUCCUCUUCUUGAUCAAAUGAUGUGGUGGCCGUCGAUAAGCAUGCAGCUCUAUGCGGUGUAAAACAUACACCAUAGCAUAUCCCGGCUCUCAAAAAGUGGCCUUUAAAUGAUUUUCUUUCUUCCUUUUACUCAAAUAAAAAUAUGUUAUUCUGUCAUAUUUUUA
rnacentral:lncRNA from 1 species